rnacentral:tRNA from 1 species
GGUAUAGCUCAGCAGUGUAGCACCUGACUGGCAAGCACAAGGCCCUGAGUUCAAUUCUCAGUACC